CGCUUCGGCGUGUGACUGCGUACCUUUUGUAUAAUGGGUCAGCGACUUAUAUUCUGUAGCAAGGUUAACCGAAUAGGGGAGCCGAAGGGAAACCGAGUCUUAACUGGGCGUUAAGUUGCAGGGUAUAGACCCGAAACCCGGUGAUCUAGCCAUGGGCAGGUUGAAGGUUGGGUAACACUAACUGGAGGACCGAACCGACUAAUGUUGAAAAAUUAGCGGAUGACUUGUGGCUGGGGGUGAAAGGCCAAUCAAACCGGGAGAUAGCUGGUUCUCCCCGAAAGCUAUUUAGGUAGCGCCUCGUGAAUUCAUCUCCGGGGGUAGAGCACUGUUUCGGCAAGGGGGUCAUCCCGACUUACCAACCCGAUGCAAACUGCGAAUACCGGAGAAUGUUAUCACGGGAGACACACGGCGGGUGCUAACGUCCGUCGUGAAGAGGGAAACAACCCAGACCGCCAGCUAAGGUCCCAAAGUCAUGGUUAAGUGGGAAACGAUGUGGGAAGGCCCAGACAGCCAGGAUGUUGGCUUAGAAGCAGCCAUCAUUUAAAGAAAGCGUAAUAGCUCACUGGUCGAGUCGGCCUGCGCGGAAGAUGUAACGGGGCUAAACCAUGCAC
rnacentral:rRNA from 1 species